AACUGCUGGUCUUGAGCCAAAAGUAGAAACAAUUAUCUUGGUAUGUUUAGGAAACAGUUUGGGGCAUUUUCUGCUUUAUUCUGGCCUCAGCAUCAAAACGUAUUUGCUGAAGUAGUGAGGGUGUCAAAAAUUAGAAUACUUUAGAGAGUAAAUAACACAUGAAAAACAAUAAUCAAAGUGAUGUUAACUUAUUUAAUGUAGGGAUUGUAGUGGCGCGAAACUAUGGCCGCCAUUAAGGAUGUACAAUCUACGCAUGUGCAAGGGACUAGCCUUCCCAGAAGCCCCUCGAGUGCGCAUGCAUAGUAAAACCAGUACUUAAAGCGUUACUUUCGUUUUCUAAGUUUCUUCAGCAUGAUGCCUUCGACGUGACAACACCUUACUCCUCAACGAAGCAAUCUUGAGCGCGACCACUUUGACGUGACAGCUACUUGCUCCUCUGGCAUGCAUCAACGAAGCUCUUAACCUUCCAAUACAAGUAAACCAGCGGCUGCUGAGCUGAAUGUCACAUUAUUUGUAAAACCAAGCAUCACCAAAAAUUCAUGGCGUUUGGGGAAGAGGGAGACCCACAAAAACAGGGGACAAAGUGGCAAGGACUGAUCUCAAGAUGUUGUGUGUUGCAGAGCAGAGGACAAAGAACUGAAAUAAUUGGCUUUUUGCUGUGCUCAAGAAGACUCGCCCAUCACAGUGAUAGUGAGAUACUACAAGUAUUAUGCUAAUUCUUGUCCAUGCUGGACCUAUACCCAAUUUGGCUACAUCAAGCAACCUCAUGAAAGACACAUACACAUCUCAUCUUCCUAAUAUUCAUCCCUCCAUCACUUUUCUAACUAUGGUACUACUCAACUGCUGCAAUCAUUUGAGAGCACUAUCAGCACAUACUUUAGCACUACCAAUAACCUCACUUUUAUUAUCAUCCCUGUCCAUGCUACUUCCAACGAUCACCUCACUUUCUGUACCUUCAGUAGUCUCCAUCCCAUGUCUAAGCUAAACCUUAGGUGUUCCAUAUUUCAUCUUUAACACCUCUGCUAUCAUUUUCAACACCUCAUAUCCGCUAUUGAUGAUCUUUCCAUCUUUGUUGCCCUACUUACUUUAGCCACCUUCUGAUCUCCAUCUCUCCCACAGUCUCUCACCCUCCCUCUUUAUUCUCACACUCAGCACCCCAUCUCCCAAAUUUCAUGUGCUGCUAAUUGUCACCUCCUCCUCUCUCAAACACUUCUAUCUCUUCCACCUCCUCCCUUCCAUUCUGAUAUUUACCAUCAACUACAUCCCCACCCUUUUUCAUCACUCACUGCAUCCACCUCUACCUUCACCUUUAAACAUUUGUUACUUUCCUCCUACACCCUUAUGAAAUUACCCACAUUAUCUUUCUUACUAUUUCAUUGUCCAUAUUCUUUACAAAAUGUGAGGUAGUCAUGUAUCUCCUCUAUAGCAAGAUUAAUGACUGUAGCAUAUUAGAGCGUGAAAGCUUGUGGAUGUGGAUCAGAACGGUCAAAUGAAAUUGGGUUGGCUUUGCAAGAUGUUCUCAAGGUCUUAAUUCAUAGAAAUUCUCUGGCAAGCAGUAUCUAGGUUAUGUGUGCUUCUCAUUGUUUUUUCAAAUCCUUAAUAUGCUGUUGACGCAGUUUGAAGCCGUCACAGUUUGACAGAUUUUUGUUUACAAGACACAAAUUAGCUAUUGUGAAUGUAUUCAUCAAUUAGAGCUCUAUAUUAACAAUGUGUUAAGUGUCUACAUUUUAUCAACAGAAGUAAUAAAAUAAUAGAUCAUUAUUUCAGAUGUAUUUAUUGCAAGUAAAUAGGGAUUUAUUGAAAGUUAAAUGUCUCUAUCAUUUUAUAUAUUUUAACAAUGGCUGUUUGUUUGUUUCUUACUUCAUAGCAAUUGUUAGAUAUUUUUCAAGCUGAUUCAUAUUUUCUAUACUAUUUAUACAUAUCCUAUAAUGUCAUUUAAAUAUAUAAAAUUCACAGUUCUAUAUUUAAGAGAUGAGGAAUUAUGUACAUAUUUAUAUUAUUUACAUUUGACGGAUAUUUGUCCUCAUCUUGUUUGUUGUUAACACGUUUCAGCUGAUAUACCCGCCAGCCUUCAUCAGGUGUCUUGGGGAAAAUUUCAAACCUGGGUAUUUUUCAAUAUUAUUAUUAUUGUUCAGGUCACUGCCUGGAAUGGAACUUGGAAUCUUGGGGUUAGUAGCCCGUGCUCUUAACCACUAUGCUAUUUGCCCAAGCAUAUGGCAUAGUGGUUAAGAGCAUGGGCUACUAACCCAAAGAUUCCAAGCAGUGACCUUAAUAAUAAUAAUAAUAUCGAAAAAUACCUUAGAAACGAGAACCCAAGUUCGAAAUUUCCCAAAGACACCUGAUGAAGGCUUGAGGGUUCAUCUGCCGAAAUGUGAUAACAACAAAACAAGAUGAGGACAAAUAUCCAUCAAAUGUAAAUAAUGUAUAUAAAUUCAUUUUAUAAAACAAUUUUAAGCUUACCUUAUAACAAGGGUAGGAACUUUUUUACAGGGUGGAGAUGGCAAAUCUAUAAGAAUCUCUGGAUAUAUGAUAUGACACCAAAGAUGUCAUAUCAUACAGCUUGAAUUUAAUAUGGAAAAAGGACUGCAAUAUCAUGGUUUCAAUUCCUGGACCAGAUAAUGCAUUUUGUUCUUGAGCAAAACACUUCAUUUCACAUUGCUCCAGUCCACUCAGCCAACCAUCAUAUAAGCAGUGUCCUUCAUUUCCAAUCUUCUGUGAAAACAUGUCUGGCCAUGAGAACAUAUCACCUUACUUAGAAAAAAGUGAGCAUUGGUGACAGGAAGAAUAUCCAUAUACAUCCAUAAAAAUAUAUACUGUCACUUUCAGCUCAAAAUAGUACUUGAACAUAUGCCUUUAGUUUUUCUCAAAUAAAGUUUCAAGUCAUCAUCAUAAUUGUCAUUAUUAUGAUUUAACAUCCAUCUUUCAUGCUAGUAUGGGUUGGAGCUGAUGGGUUGAAGGACUGCAUCAGGCCCCAAUGUCAGCUUUGGCAUAGUUUCUAUUGUUUGAAUGCCCUUCCUAAUGCCUGUCACUUUACAAAGUGUAUUUAGUGCUUUUUUCAUAGUACCUGCACUAGUGGGUUGCUAUGUAGUUCGCUAAACUAAGACCCCCUUUAACUGAGUGGGAGUACAGUAAAAAGAGAUGUGGAUUUAUGCUAGGGAAUAUGAAAGAAGAAAUUUGAAUAGGUUCCUUUUGUCAUAUGUUAACCUAAAAAAAAUACCAUAUUCUACUCCAAAAUCUUUCAAAAUGUCUUUAAAUUUUCCAUUGUUCAAUUCUUUAUUUUUAAAUAACUUAAUUACCAUUUUUAUAACAUUGUUGUCUAAGAGAAUGUGAUAAGGUUUUAGAAUCUAGUUAAUGGUUCUACAAUUCUUUUUUGAUUUUAAGUAGCAAGUAUUUUUUUGUUAUUGUGGUAUGAGGGAACUGUAAUGCAGGGAAUAAAAUAUGGUUCAUCUACCUCUUGUUGACUAUCUAGCAAACACCUGCCCUACCCAUCUUACCUAACAAUAGCAGCCGCUACUACCAAUUCCUGCACACUUGCUCAUCCAUUCAUGUCUAUUCACCACCACUGCCCCUGGCUGAAAAGAGGACAACCCUGGUCUUGCUUCCUUCAUUUACUCUCUCUGCCUUCCUGUUCUUGUGGAACCCCUCAGCUGGAUGUCACAGCCCUUUCCUUCUGGUUCAUCUCAUCCCCACAGUUAUCUUACCAAAGAAAGUGCACUGCCCAUAACCAUGCACAUGAAUUUUAUGUAGAUUAAAUCAAAAUUACUUAGAUCUCAGAAAAAAUUAUUUUCAUCUCUAGUAGCCUCAUGCAUUGAUUUUGUACAGGUAAAUUUUGUCUUAGUGAAAAGACUGUCAUUAUCCCAGUCGCAAAAAUAGCUGACUGUGCCAUUAUUUAAGUAUGUCUGUUGCUUCAUUACAUCUCCAAAUUCUUGAUGCUGUUUUUGUUUCAAUGAUUCUUGAAUAACAUCGUCCUUGACAUUUUAUCUCUUCAAAAAUUAAAGCCCUCAAUCUGACUUUUUCUAGUGUUUGAAUUUAUGCAACUUACUCUUCAAGAAACUUCUUUAAUGGUUUCCUUUGCCAUAAAUUCACGCAUUUCACUACUUGUAUUACAUAAAUAUUUUUAUCAAUAUUCCUUUUGAAAACAGCUUAUUGUUAGCGUAGAUAUUCUUUAAAAAGUCUAAUUCCACUUAAUACUGUAUCCCGACCAGUUUUCCUUUAUAUUCCUUAUUAGGCACAGGUGUGGCUGUGUGGUAAGACAGUUUACUUCUCAACCACAUUAUUCUGGGCCAAGAGCCAGCCAAAACCACCUGAGUGGAUUUGAUAGAGGGAAACUGAAGGAAGCCCAUUAUAUUUAUAUAUGUAUGUGAGCAUGUAUUAUUGUCUCCUUGCUUUGACAUCACAUGAUAGUUGUAAGCAAGUGUCACUGUAAUGCAAACUGUCUCCUUUGUUUCCAACCCUCUGUGAAAGCAUGUCUGGUCACAAGGAAACAUUACCUUACUUGGAAACAGGUGAAGAUUGGCAGCAGGAAGGGUAUCUGGGCAUAGAAAAUCUACUUUAACAAAUUCCAUCUGACUCCUGCAAGCAUGGAUAAGUGGAUGUUAAAACAACGAUAAAACACUGGGAAUUAUUCUUAGAUAGAGACUUUCAAGAUUAAACUUUUCAUAAACCGCAUCCCAAUCUUUACAAAUAUGACACUUUUUAUUUACUUCUGUUAAAAGAAACUCCAAAAAGAGCUUUGCCAGCAAUUCUUUUUCUUUUUUCAUUCCUAAUUAUUGUUAAUGAGCUUUUUAUUAUGAAUCUUAUGUAUUAUAAUAUUGAUUUCAAAUCUUUAAUAAAAAUUGACAAUUGUUACCAACA